ACAGCGAUAGCUCAGCUGGUAGAGCAUCUGCGCGGUAUGCGGAGGGUCGCCGGUUCGAUUCCGGCUCGCGGCG
rnacentral:tRNA from 1 species